ACACGACUACAUUAGACUACCCCGGUAGUCCCAGCCCUAAACGAUGCGCGUUAGGUGUAUCGGUGACCACGAGUCACCGAGGUGCCGAAGGGAAACCGUGAAACGUGCCGCCUGGGAAGUACGGUCGCAAGGCUGAAACUUAAAGGAAUUGGCGGGGGAGCACAACAACGGGUGGAGCUUGCGGUUUAAUUGGAUUCAACGCCGGAAAUCUUACCGGGACCGACAGCAACAUGAAGGCCAGGCUGAAGACUUUGCCGGAUUAGCUG
rnacentral:rRNA from 1 species